AACAGAUGGACUCUCAUUGUCUCUCGCUCUCACCUAAGGGUUCUAGACAAUCUUUCCGGUCAUUCGGAUCAGCGGUUGAGAUUUACCGUCAAUAUGCUCGAGAAACCCAUCUGGGCCUUCCAAUCAGCAUCUCCAGUCCAUCAGUCACCGAUUUCAUCCGAGAGAUAAGCAGUCCUUCGGUCACCGACUUCGCCCUAGACUUCGGUCAAGAUCAGGAAGUGGGGCCCACUGCUGAACCAACGGCAUCCGAGAAGCAAAAUGUCCCACAACCAUGGGCUAAAGUAAUCGUCGUGAUGGCCUUCACAUCCGUAGUGGGCCUUCUGAGUGUCAGUUACACAAUCAACGGUAAUGGCAACCUUACCCCAGCCACCCUAUUUAGUGGACGGCCUGUAUCGUUCGGAUUCUUUCUCUUGGUAGUCAUGGUCACAUUCUAUAUCUCCAUCAUAGCAAUGAUCAUCCGGCCAGUCUUGCCAUUGAUAGCCAAAGUCCUUAACACAAUGGCCUUUGUUUGUGUGGUUUUAGGGGUCACGGUCCUGUUGUGGGCCAUGCUUCCUAAAAGCAUAAGCUGGGUCCCAUGGAUUUUUUUUGCGGUCACGAUCUUGAUUGCUUUUGGAGUGAUAGUUUAUGAGUGGUUCGUUUAUGAAAAGAAGGUUAAAGAGAAAGGGACUACAAUAAGGCCCACUACAUAAGAUGGGCCCACUAUGUAUAUA